rnacentral:rRNA from 1 species
UGGGGAAUAUUGGACAAUGGGCGCAAGCCUGAUCCAGCCAUGCCGCGUGAGUGAUGAAGGCCUUAGGGUUGUAAAGCUCUUUCGCCGACGAAGAUAAUGACGGUAGUCGGAGAAGAAGCCCCGGCUAACUUCGUGCCAGCAGCCGCGGUAAUACGAAGGGGGCUAGCGUUGUUCGGAAUCACUGGGCGUAAAGCGCACGUAGGCGGAUUGUUAAGUCAGGGGUGAAAGCCUGGAGCUCAACUCCAGAACUGCCCUUGAUACUGGCAAUCUCGAGUCCGGAAGAGGUAAGUGGAACUGCGAGUGUAGAGGUGAAAUUCGUAGAUAUUCGCAAGAACACCAGUGGCGAAGGCGGCUUACUGGUCCGGUACUGACGCUGAGGUGCGAAAGCGUGGGGAGCAAAACAGGAUUAGAUACCCUGGUAGUCCACGCCGUAAAACGAUGGAGGCUAGCCGUUGGCGAGCAUGCUCGUCAGUGGCGCAGCUAACACAUUAAGCCUCCCGCCUGGGGGAGUACGGUCGCAAGAUUAAAAACUC